rnacentral:rRNA from 1 species
UACGUAGGGGGCAAGCGUUGUCCGGAUUUAUUGGGCGUAAAGAGCGUGUAGGCGGCCAUACAGGUCAGCUGUGAAAACUCGAGGCUCAACCUCGAGACGUCGGUUGAAACCGUAUGGCUAGAGUCCGGAAGAGGAGAGUGGAAUUCCCGGGUGUAGCGGUGAAAUGCGCAGAUAUCGGGAAGAACACCCGUGGCGAAGGCGGCUCUCUGGGACGGUACUGACGCUGAGACGCGAAAGCGUGGGGAGCAAACAGGG